UUGAGCUUGACUCUAGUCCGACUUUAUGAAAUGACUUGAAAGGUAUAGUAGAAGUGGGAGCUGAAAGGCGAAAGUGAAAUACCCCUACUUUUGACAUUAUUUUACUUAUUCCGUGAAUCGGAAGCGGGGCACUGCCCCUCUUUUUGGACCCAAGGCUUGCUUGCAGGCCGAUCCGGGCGGAAGACAUUGUCAGGUGGGGGUUUGGCUGGGGCGGCACAUCUGUUAAAAGAUAACGCAGGUGUCCUAAGAUGAGUACAAUGAAUGGGGUGCUUUCUAAUAGCAAAGAAUAAAAUGAACAAAGUAAUAAUGGAGUUUUGCUGCAAUUUCUUUUUUCUUAGAACUAUAAGCAAGUCGACCA
rnacentral:ncRNA from 1 species